AACUCACAAGUUUGUCCGUUGCAACAAAUUAAGACCAAUUCUUGUUUACGUUUCUUUUGUUUCGGCAACUUCACAUCGUCUUUACGUUCAGUUUUGGGAUGAACAGUUCCUUUGAGCGAGAGCGAAUAAUCUUUUCGUCUGAAUUUCGAUUUAUGUUUUGUUUAUGAAAACCAUUUAUAUGCAUACCUGAUUUGGUUUUGUUUCGAUUUAUAGAGGGAAAAGAAAAGCGAAGUGAUGAUAGAAAUUCAUUUGUCUGUCAAUCCGCUGAUAUUCUUUGAUGCAAUUCGUGAAUCCCGACAGUCCUCUUCCAGAUCCAGUUAGAGAUUCGAGAACAUUGCCACCAGCUCGAUGAAACUCGCAAGUGAAGUAUAGCUCACGAUAAAUGAGAUACAUGUCGCGACUGAUUCAAACAAGAUAAGAUGUAACUCAGAAGCUCGACACAGGGUGUGACUAUAAAUCGGAAGGACUCACAAUCUCAAUACCCGACAGCAUUUACAUAUAUUAUGUGGUAAUGCAGUAUGGUUUUUUCCGGUCAAAUAUUUGCGAGCUAAUAAUUACAGAACAUAUAAUAAAUAUUCAUGUGCUGUAUGACCUGAGUUAUUGAUAGGAUGAAUGCAAAAUGUGAUUAUUUUUGUUGUUUUUAAUGGAUUUCGAUUUUGCCAUGGUUACCUGCACAUGUGAAUAAUGGUAGAGAAGAUGGAUAUUAAAUGAAUUUGGUUCACUUAUUGAGUAUGUUGAAACAGCUUUUGGGAGAAAUCUCCGGCAAAGUUUCACUUAUUUGGCAUAGAAUUUGCAUCGUAUAAUUUAGUCGGUUUGCGAAUUCUUAGCAAGUAGUAUUCCUGAACAGAGGGGGUCUGAUUAUUAUAGAUGAAUAGGAUGGACAUAAUUAUGAGUUUGUAGAAUGUGGGGUUGCAUAGAGCUGCUGUGAAUGUCUUGCGUCACUCAAAGCUCCCAAAUCGGGAUGAAAUCGGCUCACAAUGGGAACCAUAGUGCCAAUGUGAUGCCGAUGUCGACGAUAAAGUUGGUUAGGGCAGAUCGGUGAGUCGAGAUGAGACAUGAAUCACCAUGUUAAUACUGCUGAUACCGCCAUUUGGAAGAUAAGUAUUUCUCACACAUUCUAUUGACCGAGUAUGAUUAAUUAUUGUUUGUUUGUUUACAACACUUUGUUUGAUGAUCUAAUGUCAUUAUAACUCAAAUUAAAAUGUGUAUGUGUUAUCUAUAUGUUGUGGUGUCGAUUUCUGUAUGUCUUGCAAUGCAUUUUGAUUUUAGAGUUACAUUUGGAAGAUUGUGAAAAUUGUUGGGACAAAUUAGCACUGCUAUGAUUUGAAAAGAAAUUGAAGAUGACACUUACAGGAUGGCUGGGAAAUCAAAUCAAUUAUGGCCCGUCUCUAUUCAUCUCAGCGUCUACAUGCCAAGUGUUAUCAAUUUGAUGCUGGUAGAUCUGCCUGUUUUAGCAAAGGUCGCAGUAGAGGGACAGCCAGAAGGUGUGUCAUGUGAAGAGUUGGUGUAACAUGAAUACUCAAUGAUUUCUAGAUAUCGGGGUGGCUAAUAUUCCGGUUUAAUCGACAUGGCUCAUUACAAGCCGGAAAGAUAAGUAACUCUUACCUUUUUAACUUCCUAAAAUCACAGCCGACUACUGUCUAUUAACUAAAGUGUCCACGAAUGCUUAUCUUUAUAGACAAGAUAAAUAAACUAUGAAAGUACGAAUAUAAUGGAGAUAACAGUUUGUUGAUAAUAAUCAUAUUACAUUCAUCCUUGGUUCCUGUUGUUUUGUCACAUUAUAUGUUGCAGGUUGUUUCUACCAGGAUAGUGGGUCAUUUGGGUGAACUGAUAUGCUAUUUGUAUGACGUGGUUAUGAUGUUUGAUUACUACUUUUAAAUGUUUGAAGUAAGCAUCCGUGAUGACAACGACUACAUAUCGAGUCUUAUGGGAGGAGAAAUCAAGAUUGCAAUGAUCGGAGAUGACAAGUCAAGCUCUAAUGUCAUCGUAAAAGAAUCGGAUUGAAAAUAACAAUGACAGGUCAGCGUUUCUUUUCCUUGUGCUUCUCGAAUAUGAAUGGAAGUGUGUCAUCCUAUGUUCCAAAUCAGACGUGGAAGUUAAGGUGGUUGAGGUGAAUCAUGUGUACCAAUUAUAAUAGCUUCAGAUCAGUUGCUCUCGCAAAUAGUAACAAAUUUCCAGGAGUCGCAACUGAGACGCAAAGUUCCCCCAGGAUGAAAAACCUGAAGCUGGUAUAUUCGAGAAACAUGGAUCUUGAUGGCUUCGGUGAUUAUGAUUUGCGCGGAAGGAACACGAGUGCGCUCAACGACAAAGCAAACAUUUGGAAUCAUCAAACUCCCAGGUCAGAUGAGUUUUCACUCUCGGCCAUAGUGGUGGUAACUCCCUGAUUUGGUUUUGUUUCGGUUUAUAAAUUGUUGAAAUUGAUUUUGUAGAAGUUACUUGAAUUAUAAUAUAAAGGGAAAAAAAAAGCGAAGUGAUGAUAGAAAUACAUUUGUUUGUCAAUCCGCUGAUAUUCUUUGAUGUUAUUCAUGUAUCCCGACAGGUUCUGAUUGCUUACCUAUUUCCCUCUCUUGCUUGAUUUCUUCAUUUCUUGAGUUUCUCGAUUUGUUGAAUCAAUUAUUUAUGAUUUUUGAAUUGUUGUCAGAAUUAUUUAUCAAAACAAUGAAGUCGCUAAUCGCUAUCGAGUAUUUAUUUAUCCUACGCUGAGAAAUGUGUGAUGUGAAGAGAAAUUGCGAGAGGUUGAAGGCUUGCUUUAAUUUUUGAAAGAUUAAUGGCACCAAAACACAUUGGACAAGGUUCACAAGAAGCAUAGAUUUCACAGUCAGUAAGAUCCAGAUAAUGAUUCGAGAACAUUGCCACCAGUUCGAUGAAACUCGCAAGUGAAGUAUAGCUCACGAGAAAUGAGAUACAUGUCGCGACUGGUUCAAACAAGAUGAUGCAACUUGGAAGCUCGACACAGGGUGUGCCUAUAAAUCGGAAGGACUCACAAUCUCCAAUACCCGGCAACAUUGACCGAUCCCACAGUCAAGCUUUUUUACAUAUACUAUUUGGUAAUGCAGUAUGGUUUUUGCCGGUUAAACAUUUGCGAGCUAAUAAUUACAGAACAUAUAAUAAAUAUCCAUGUGUUGUAUGUCCUGAGUUAUUGAUAGGAUGAAUGCAAAAUGUGAUUAUUUUUGUUAUCGGUAAUGGAUUUUGAUUUUGCCAUGGUUACCUGCACAUGUGAAUAAUGGUAGAGAAGAUAGAUAUUAAAUGAAUUUGGUUCACUUAUUGAGUAUGUUGAAACAUCUUUUGGGAGAAAUCUCUGUCAAAAUUUCACUUAUCUGGCGUAGAAUUUGCAUCGUAUAAUUUAGUCGGUUUGCGAAUUCUUAGCAAGUAGUGUUCCUGAACAGAGGGGGUCUGAUUAUUAUAGAUGAAUAGGAUGGACAUAAUUCUGUGUUUGUAGAAUGUGCAGUUGCAUAGAGUUGCUGUGAAUGUCUUGCGUCACUCAAAGCUCCCAGAUCGGGAUGAAAUUGGCUCACAAUGAGAAACAUAGUACCAAUGUGAUGUCGAUGUCGACGAUAAAGUUAGUUAGGGCAGACCGGUGAGUCGAGAUGAGACAUGAAUCACCAUGUUAAUACUGUUGAUACUGCCAUUUGGAAGAUAUGUAUUUCUCACACAGUCUAUUGACCGAGUAUGAUUAACUAUUGUUUGUUUACAACACUUUUUUUUGAUGAUCUAAUGUCAUUAUAACUCAACUUACAAUGUGUAUGUGUUAUCUAGAUGUUGUGGUGUCGAUUUCUGUAUGUCGUGCAAUGCAUUUUGAUUUUAGAGUUACAUUUGGAAGAUUGUGAAAAUUGUUGGGACAAAUUAGCACUGUUAUGAUUAGAAAAGAAAUUGAAGAUGACACUAACAGGAUGGCUGGGAAAGCAAAUCAAAUAUGUCCUGUCUCAAUUCAUCUCAGCGUCUACCUGCCAUGUGUUUUCAAUUUGAUGCUGGUAGAUCUGCCUGUUUUAGCAAAGGUCGCAGUAGAGGGACAACCAGAAGGUAGUGACGUCUAAUGCUAUAAAAACUCCUAAACAAAUUGACCCUGAUGGUAAAAGAACAUUUGGUGUAACAUGAAUACUCAAUGAUUUCUGGAUAUCGGGGUGGCUAUUAUUCCAGUUUUAUCGACAUGCUUCGUUACAAGCCGGAAAGAUAAGUAACUCUUAUCUUUUUAACUUCCUAAAAUCACAGCCGACUACGGUCUAUUAACUAAAGUGUCCACGAAUGCUUAUCUUUAUAGACAAAGAUAAAUAAACUAUGAAAGUACAAAUAUAAUGGAGAUUAUAGUUGUUUAGGGGCUUCCUCUACAGUUUGUUGAUAAUAAUCACACUACAUUCAUCCUUGGUUCCUGUUGUUUUGUCACACUAUAUGUUGCAGGUUGUUUCUACCAGGAUAGUGGGUCAUUUGGGUGAACUGAUACGCUAUUUGUAUGACGUGAUUAUGAUAUUUGAUUACUACUUUUAAAUGUUUGAAGUCAGCAUCCGUGAUGACAACGACUACAUAUCGAGUCUUAUGGGAGGACAAAUCAAGAUUGCAAUGAUCGGAGAUGACAAGUCAAGCUCUAAUGUCAUCGUAAGAGUCGGAUUGAAAAUAACAAUGACAGGUCAGCGCUUCUUCUGCUUCUGCUUCUCGAAUAUGAAUGGAAGUGUGUCAUCCUAUGUUCCAAACCGGACUUGGAAGUUAAGUUGGUUGAGGUGAAUCAUGUGUACCAAUUACAAUAGCUUCAGAUCAGUUCCUCUCGCAAAUAGUAGCAAAUUUCCAGGAGUCAUAACUGGGCAGGAAAGUUCGCUCAUGAUGAAACCUGAAGCUGGUAUAUUCGAGAAACAAGGACUUUAAUGGCUUCGGUGAUUAUGGUACUGUUUUGGGCGACAACAAAACUAAAAAGAUCACAUGAAAGCAUGAUUACUAGUCUUAAGGAUAUUGGAAAAUCAUACAGACUGGGAAGUCUGAUGCAAUAAGUUUGUUACUUUGUAUAUCCGAUUUGCGAGAAAGGAACACGAGUGCGCUCAACGACAAAACAAACAUUUGGAAUCAUCAAACUCCCGGGUCAGAUGAGUUUUCACUCUCGGCCAUAGUGGUCGUAACUCCCUGAUUUGGUUUUGUUUCGGUUUAUAAAUUGUUGAAAUUGAUUUUGUAGAAGUUACUUGAAUUAUAAUAUAGAGGGAAAAGAAAAGCGAAGUGAUGAUAGAAAUUCAUUUGUCUGUCAAUCCGCUGAUAUUCUUUGAUGUAAUUCGUGAAUCCCGACAGGUUCUGAUCGCUUACCUAUUUUCCUCUCUUGCUUGAUUUCCAUUUCUUGAGUUUCUCGAUUUGUUGAAUCAAUUAUUUAUGAUUUUUGAAUUGUUGUCAGAAUUAUUUAUCAAAACAAUGAUAUCACAAGAAGCAUAGAUUUCACAGUCAGUAAGCAGGGGCGUCAAAUGGGCAAUUCAAAGUUGGAGACAUGUACAGGAAACUUCAUAUGGAGGAUGAGUAUAAGAGUGAAGAAAUAUGGGAACAUAUUUGGAAUCUGCAAGUGCCUGAGCGUGUCAGGAAUUUUAUCUGGCUGCUAACUCAUGACCGGUUAAUGACCAAUUUGUGAAAGAGUAUUUGUGGCAUCGGUGAAGCUUACUGUCAGCUUUGUGGAAAUGCGUGUGAGUCUGCGAUACAUGCCAUGAGAGAUUGCAGAAAGGUUAGGCAUUUUGGGAGGAACUAAUCCCAAAUUGUGUUCGACAAAAUGUUUUGGCAGGUGAUUUAAAGGCAUGGAAAAACAUCAACGUUAUAGUGCAUGGAAGUCAUGAUAAUUGGAUCUGCUUGUGGGCGGUUGGCUGCCAUGUAAUUUGGUCGUAGAAAAUCAAGAAGCUCAUAAUGAUGUGUUUGUGAGACCUCUCAAUGCUCGCGAAAUAAUUGUAGGACGCAUGAAAGAUUAUAUUGCUGCUACCAGUUAGAUGGAUUCCUCCACCUAUCAACUUUAUCAAAAUUAAUGUUGAUGGGGCUUGUGGCAAAGAUAGCAUUGCUGGGUGUGGUGGAUUAUUGCGGGACUCGAAUGGGGGUUGGAUUUGUGGUUUCUCAAAAUUUAUAGGCAACUGUAAUUCUUGUAUAGGCAAAAUUUGGGGGGUGUACGAAGGGCUUAAUAUUUCGUAUGCCAAAGGCUUUGCGAAGAUUAUUCUUAAUACUGAUUGGAGGAAAGUUAUUGAUUCUAUUAAGAAUAGCGAUUAUAAGGAUUACUCAACGAUGGCGUUGAACAGGUAAUUCAAGUUACUUAUGGCGAAUCAUGACGAGGUGAUUUUAGAUCAUACGUUUCGAGAAGCAAAUUAUGCGGCAGAUGAGCUUGCUAAAGCAGGGAUGAAGAUGAAAACAGGUUUUCUUCUCUUUGAUGAGAUCCCGCAUUGGAUAAGGAAUCAGAUUCAAGAAGACUCGAGGGGUCGUUCUACUGUUAGAGUGUUUGAGUUGUAGUUUUGCUUUUUUCAGGCUUCGGCCCUCUUUCUUACCAAAAAAACAAAAAAACAAAAAAAAAAAACAAAAUUUUAGUCAAUUUGAACUAAAAUAAACAUCUAUAUUUCAUAUUGUUGAUAAGAUGAAAAUCUGUUCUAGAUGGUGUUUGAAAGCAAAGUCUUCAUACAUUAAUUAUCUGCUAACUCAGAGUAUGAGCUUUUCCAGCUUAAAGUCCCUUAAACACAAUGUAUGGAAAGACAGUGUGAAUAAUACAAAUUGUAUCAGUUCAUGGUCUCUCAAACUUGGCCUAGAAGGACGAUGUUAUCAAUGUAGGCUUUCCCCAUCCACUGACCCUUUAGUAGGAGAUCCAGAAGUGUGAGUCCCUGAAGCAUGAGGUCUAGAAAAGCGAGUUGAUUUGGGCGCGUUUAGCAGGUGCGAAGGGACAAAUCUUCUUUUCUUAAAGGGGAAUGCUCUUUUAAUCCUUAGUGGUGCCUUCCACACACUAGAAAACUCGAAAAUGCUUUUCAUUAAAGUCUUUCAUAAAAGUCUUCUAGUUGGAGUCAAUAUUCUACAAUAUUAGUUAGAUGAAGCAGCAUGUAUGUUAAAUUGUAAGGUUGGAACUACUAGAUUCAAAUACUUGGACAUUCCUAUUGGUUGUAAUCAUAGAAGAAAGGAGUUUUGGAAAUUGGUGAUUAAUGCAAUGUUAGGAAGAUUGUCCAAGUGGAAUUAUCAGCUUUGUCAGGUAUUAUUUCUAAUCUUAAAUCUUUCUUUAAAAAUUUAUUAUGUGGUGGAGGAUUGGAAAGCAGAAAAAUAACAUGGGUUCAUUAGAGAAAGGUAUACUAGGAAAGAGAAGAAGGGGGAUCUAGGUAUAAAAAAUUUAACGGCGUUCAACCUAGCUAUUAGGAAAGUAGGAAUGGAGAUUUUAUGGGUUAAGGUUUUAAAUAGUAAAUAUGGUGAAAUCAUUGGUAGAGUGAGUAAAAUUGAGAGAAUGGGGUCGGCUUGGUGGCAUGACAUAAAAAAGGUAGAAAGUAGGAUGUGGGACUUUAAAUUACAUUGGUUCUUUGAAAGGUUGUGCAUGAAAUUAGGAAGUGGAGCUGAAUCGCAUUUCUGGACCGAUUCUUGGAUAAAAGGAAUAAUCUUGAAGAGCAGCUAUGUGGGAUUGUUUGGUUUAAUUGAGAACAAAAAGGCUUCAUUAGGAAGUGGUGAAAGAUGGAGAAGACGUGACUUGGGACAUAAGGUUGAAAAGAACCUUGAAUAAAGAGGAAAGAAAGCUCAAAGAAUUGUGCUGAAGGAAGAUUCAGAAGAUAAGUGAAAUUCGGGUAAAUAACUUAUUCGGUAAAGGAUGCUUAUUCCUCAAUUUUGAUGGAAAGCACAAGAUUUGGUAUGAGAAAUUAUGCAGCCGCAUGGAGUCAUCUGAUCCCGCUUAAAGUAUUUACACUGGUUUAGAGAUUAUGGCAACAUAAAGUCCCUACAAAAGACAGCCUAGUAAAGAGGGGGUUUUGGACGAUCUAAAGUUGCGUGUUCUUUUCGGAUGCAGAAAAGAAGAUAUUGUUCCUCACAUUUUCUUAGAUUGUCCAAAAAUCGGCGAGGACGAGGAGGUUCAGAACGCAAUCUUUCUGUGGCUGAAUGUAUCUACAAUAAUACAUAAUUCAAUUUUGGGAAACUCUUGGAAAUUCGGAACCCUCUUUUUCUAAAAUCUAAAUUUGGUUCUGUUUUGGGUAAAACUUAUGUUAGAAUGAUUUCAAGUUAUCCUUACCCGUAUUAUUCCAAAGAAUGGACUGAGAAUGUAGAAUUAUUCAUUUCAAUUGACUGGUUUUCUUGUAAAAUUAUGUGGCAAUUGUAUUUUAAGGUGACAUGAGAUUAUAGUUGUCUAAUGUUGCAAAGUUGACAAGUGAUAGGUACAUAUGUGAUAAUGAGUGAGAAUUAAAAGUUGGGAUAUAAGAUGAUGUAUUGGUGAAUUGGAAUGGGUGUGUGUUUGUGUGCCAGUGAUGUCUAGUGAGUUGCUGUGUAAUGUCACUGCCGAGAAGAAAACUAUAAUCCUAAGAGUGUAAUUUGAAUGUGUUAAGAGAUAAUCUAAGUAUUUAGCAUAAUACCUGUUCCUUGAUGUUUAUUUUGGCAAUUUGUUUACUUAAAUGUACUUAUACAAGUCUCCUAUUUCAUUUAGUUUAGUUAACGAUAAAUCUCGUGUUUCAACCGUUAGUUUGAGAUCCAUUUAGGGCCGGCUCCCCGUAUGCUAUAAGAAAAGCAGGGGCUAUAUUGAAUCUAUUGUCAUUGUAUUUUGCCAGUCCUCUUCCAGAUCUAGAUAGAGAUUCGAGAACAUUGCCACCAGUUCGAUGAAACUCGCAAAUGAAGUAUAGCUCACGAUAAAUGAGAUACAUGUCACGACUGGUUCAAACAAGAUAUGAUGUAACUCAGAAGCUCGACACAUGGUGUGACUAUAAAUCGGAAGGACUCACAAUCUCCAAUACCCGACAACAUUGACCGACCCCACAGUCAAGCUUUUUAACAUAUACUAUGUGGUAAUGCAGUAUGGUUUUUUCCGGUCAAAUAUUUGCGAGCUAAUAAUUACAGAACAUAUAAUAAAUAUUCAUGUGCUGUAUGACCUGAGUUAUUGAUAGGAUGAAUGCAAAAUGUGAUUAUUUUUGUUGUCUGUAAUGGAUUUCGAUUUUGCCAUGGUUACCUGCACAUGUGAAUAAUGGUAGAGAAGAUGGAUAUUAAAUGGAUUUGGUUCACUUAUUGAGUAUGUUGAAACAGCUUUUGGGAGAAAUCUCCGUCAAAGUUUCACUUAUCUGGCGUAGAAUUUGCAUUGUAUAAUUUAGUCGGUUUGUGAAUUCUUAGCAAGUAGUGUUCCUGAACAGAGGGGGUCUGAUUAUUAUAGAUGAAUAGGAUGGACAUAAUUCUGUGUUUGUAGAAUGUGCAGUUACAUAGAGCUUCUGUGAAUGUCUUGCGUCACUCAAAGCUCCCAAAUCGGGAUGAAAUCGACUCACAAUGGGAACCAUAGUGCCAAUGUGAUGCCGAUGUCGACGAUAAAGUUGGUUAGGGUAGAUCGGUGAGUUGAGAUGAGACAUGAAUCACCAUGUCAAUACUGCUGAUACCGCCAUUUGGAAGAUAAGUAUUUCUCACACAUUCUAUUGACCGAGUAUGAUUAACUAUUGUUUGUUUACAACACUGUGUUUGAUGAUCUAAUGUCAUUAUAACUCAACUUAAAAUGUUUAUGUGUUAUCUAUAUGUUGUGGUGUCAAUUUCUGUAUGUCUUGCAAUGCAUUUUGAUUUUAGAGUUACAUUUGGAAGAUUGUGAAAAUUGUUGGGAUAAAUUAGCAAUGCUAUGAUUCGAAAAGAAAUUGAAGAUGAACUAACAGGAUGGCUGGGAAAUCAAAUUAAAUGGAUAUCGGGGUGAAAGAACAGUUGGUGUAACAUAAAUACUCAAUGAUUUCUGGAUAUCGGGGUGGCUAUUAUUCCGGUUUUAUCGACAUGCUCAUUACAAGCCGGAAAGAUAAGUAACUCUUACCUUUUUAACUUCCUAAAAUCACAGCCGACUACUGUCUAUUAACUAAAAUGUCCAUGAAUGCUUAUCUUUAUAGACAAGAUAAAUAAACUAUGAAUGUACGAAUAUAAUGGAGAUUAUAGUUGUUUAGGGGCUUACUCUACAGUUGGUUGAUAAUAAUCACACUAGAUUCAUUCUUGGUAACUGUUGUUUUGCCACAUUAUAUGUUGCAGGUUGUUUCUACUAGGAUAGUGGGUCAUUUGGGUGGACUGAUACGCUAUUUCUAUGUCGUGGUUAUGAUGUUUGAUUACUACUUUUAAAUGUUUGAAGUAAGCAUCCGUGAUGACAACGACUACAUAUCGAGUCUUAUGGGGGGGAAAUCAAGAUUGCAAUGAUCGGAGAUGACAAGUCAAGCUCUAAUGUCAUCGUAAAAGAGUCGGAUUGAAAAUAACAAUGACAGGUCAGCGUUUCUUUUGCUUCUGCUUCUCGAAUAUGAAUGGACGUGUGUCUUCCUAUGUUCCAAAACAGACGUGGAAGUUAAGGUGGUUGAGGUGAAUUAUGUGUACCAAUUACAAUAGCUUCAGAUCAGUUGCUCCCGCAAGUAGUAGCAGAUUUCCAGGAGUCGUAACUGAGCAGGAAUGUUCGCCCCGGAUGAAACCUGAAGCUGAUAUAUUCGAGAAACAUGGACCUUGAUGGCUUCGGGAUAUUGGAAAAUAGUACCAAAAAGAUCAUAUGAAAGCAUGAUUACUAGUCUUAGGGAUAUUGGAAAAUCAUACAGACUGGGAAGUCUGAUGCAAUGAAUUGUGUUACACGGAAUUGGGUCACAUUAUUUACAACUUUAUCAUGGCUGAGAGCUCCAUCAGUAUGAAGAUUUAUUAAGAAAAGAAGUAUAGACAAUUUUAUGCUUUGGAAAUGCAUUAAUUUUAUUGUCGGAACUUGGUAAAAUUUACUUUUAAAGGCGUCGCUCAUUUCUCCUGCGUGGCUUCUGAUGAGAACUAGUGUCCUUCUGUGCAUCAGCAAUAAAACUUGAAUCCGAUAGCUAACGCAGCUUCUGCUUUGGCUCCAUAAACCAAUCUCUGCAUGAUGUCAAUGAAACAAAUAUGUGAUCAAUUUAAGAGAGGUUAGAGAAAUUGAGAGAGGUUGAAGGCUUGCCUUAAUUUUUGAAAGAUGAAUGGCACCAAAACACAUUGGACAAGGAUCACAAGAAGCAUAGAUUUCACAGUCAGUAAGGUGGUGUUUGAAAGCAAAUUCUCCAGACUUCAAUAUGGAUUUAGAUAUUCCAACAAUUUCUAAACAAUUUAAAGUUGAAUAGCUAUAGCGGAAAGGGAGAUCCAUAUGAACACGUAUAGCAUGUUGAUGAUCUCCUGAAUUAUUACCAAGCUAAUGAGGCGGUUAAAUACAAGCUCUUUGCACAAACACUAAUCGGAUCAACCCUCCUGAAUUAUUACCAAGCUAAUGAGGCGGUUAAAUACAAGCUCUUUGCACAAACACUAAUCGGAUCAACCCGGAUCUUGUUCAAAUCUCUACCUAAUGAAAAACAUUGAUUCAUGGACCGAUUUGUGUGAAAACUUCAUUGCUCGCUUCACAAUUCGGAAAAGGCAACUUGUGACAAUAUACGUCCUAAAUGAGUUACUUAGAGGAAGAAGGAGAGUUUGCAGUCAUAUAUCGACCGCUUCUCACAAGUGGCCAUAGAAGUGGGAGGCUUCAACUAGAGCCUCAAAUAUUCGAUUUUUUAAAACGGUUUGAAAUAGGAUAGCUCCUUUAGGAGAAGUUAAGGCAUAAGGGGCCCACAGUCUGAAAGAAUUACUGAAUAGAUAGCUUCACUUUAUUACUCCAUUUUUUUUGAAAUUUUUGUGGGUGCACGCAUUGACAAAGAUUUUACAUUUUUUAUGCUUAAAAAGUGCAGUAUCUGUUGGCCCGCUCUUCCCUUGUCUUUAGUUUCUUACGAGGCGGGUCAAGGUUUUAGGUCGGCGCCCUCAACAAUAUUCGCCCAUCCCCACCCUUUUAUUUGCGGGCUUUUACGAGAUGAGUCUAAAUGGGGUAGACACGCCCGUUUUCAACCCCAGUUAGAUAGUGAUUGAUGGUAGAAGCUCUUGUGACAUAACAUUCUAUUAGUUGUUCAAGAAUAUGAGCCUAAAGGAAAACUUGUGGCCAUAUGAAGGAUCCGAAAUGCAAAUUCAACGACACAAUAAUAUGUCCUUGUGGAUAUAGUGAAUUGAUGAUCAUCAUGGUGUUUUGAUGACGACGGUGAUGAUGUUUGUUAAAGUCGGUUGUUAUAUCUUUCCAACUCUCUGAUAAUGGUGAUUAACUUGAAGAUAUCUUAAGCAUCAUCAAGUAAAAUAUUCAAAGUUUCAGUGAAGUGUUUAUAUGAUCAUUGUAUCUAAAAAAGGAACUUGAAGUUUCAAAGUUGUGAAAGAUAAAAAGUGUGAAAGCUCGUUGGGUCGUGUUUAUCUAAGUGACUAGAAUCUAGUGAAAGUAGAUGAAUAGUUCCUAAGCCAAUAAGGCAAUUCACACACACACUUAAAAAAUUUGAGGAGCCUUUUUUAAUUUGUAAAGUCUAGCUAAUUGAUUAGGGAAUUGUCGGAUCAAUUGCGAGUUAUUUUACAACUAAAUAAUUGAAUAGCCCUAGUGUUAUAAUCGAUUAUUUUGCUUUAUAAUGCUAAAAAUCGAUUGGAACAGGUCUUUUAGUGAUCAACAAUGAUUAAAUAUCAAAAUUUUCUAUUUGAGGCUUGAACAAUCGAUUACUAACAUGUAAUAAUUAAUUGGCAUAAUUGAUUAUCUCAUUACUUUGGCUCUUGGAUUGUUUCCUUUUUGAGCCGUAUUUUCUCCUAUAUAAAUUAGGCUUCUCCUCAUUUGAAAUCACACAAGAACUAAAAAAUUUCCUAGUCCUUUCUAUUUUAUUAUUGUCCUCUUCUCUCUCUCUCUAAUAUUUUUUUCUUCACCAAAAAUUGUCUUAAAGUCUUGUAAGUGAAAACCACUUGAGAGAAAAAGUUGUGUAGUAGUGUCAUUCCUUGUUUGUUUAUUUCAAGAGUGGGAUUCUCUACAAGGUUAUUGUUUGGGUUUGAGAGAUAAUCUAGGAAAAAUCUUUAUUUAAUUCUAGAAUUCAGUCUGGAAAUUUAUAUUUGGUUAUCGAGAUAGUUGUUAAAAUCUCUACUCAUUCAUGAGCUCAGACCGUGGAAAAACUCUUGUUUGGUUAAGGGAUAAGGCAUACUAAUGACUCUCGAUUCACUUGUAACAAAGGCUUGUGGCCAUAACAUGUAAAAUUCUCUAGAAUAUCUCUUGAAGAGAGGACUAGGCCAGCAUUCGGUCAAACCUCUCUAAAUCCCGGAGUCAUCUCUAUAACCUUAUCUCUUUAUUUUCUGUCAUUUAUUUUAUUUUGAUGUUUUUCUCUAAUGCAUACUAACACAAGUUGUUGUUUUAAGUUAACAACUUUUUAAAAUUAAUUAGGAAUUUUAAAUAUCACAAUUCACUCCCUCCCCCUCGCGACUCUUGGGUUUGGAGUCACUUAUUUAACAAGUGAUACAAAAUUAAAUAAGUAAAUUGGUGAGGGGAUGAAACUCACCACCUUAGACAUGUUGAAUAACUUUGAUUUUGAAGGGGAAUUGUAAUCCAACCAUGAUCUUAAAUUGUUGAAAGAUGAGAACAACAUCUCACUUUUCUUUAGAAGGUAUAACAAGGUGAAUUUGAUAAAAGCAUCAAGAAAAGAUAUACAAUAUGAGUGUUCAAUGCUUGAAAUAAAGGGAACAGAUCCCCAUAAAUCAGUGUAAACAAGUCCUAGAGAAGGACUUCAUUGACAGCUUGAGAUUUUACAAGGCGAGAGUUAGGGAGAAAUUCAAACAAAACAAAUUUUUCAUGAGCACAUUGACUGACAGUGAUUUUGGUUAUGGUUGGAACAUGAAAAAGAUUUUGCAAGAUAAAUUAAAAUUUAUAAUUAUAAAGAAAUUUAAAAGAGGAAGUGCUAAUAGGUUGAUUUGACAAAGCUUGGCCAGUGCUAAUAACUAAAAGGGGAUUUGUUGGCGAAUGUUUAAUGAAUUUUAUGUGACAUUGUUGCGAGAAACACCUGAGUUAGGAUAACGAGUUAACGACAAACUGGGUUUGUAGGGUCAAUAUUGACCACAAGUGCUAGAGAUUUUAAGAAGGAUUAUUGAAGUUUUGUUAAGUUAGAGGUAUAAGGAUUCAAAUUAGGAGAUAUAA